UACGAAGGGUGCUAGCGUUGUUCGGAAUUACUGGGCGUAAAGGGUUCGUAGGCGGUUAUCUAAGUUAGGGGUGAAAUCCCAGGGCUCAACCUCGGAAUUGCCUUUAAGACUGGAUAACUUGAGUUUGGGAGAGGUAAGUGGAAUUCCUAGUGUAGAGGUGAAAUUCGUAGAUAUUAGGAGGAACAUCAGUGGCGAAGGCGACUUACUGGACCAAUACUGACGCUGAGGAACGAAAGUGUGGGGAGCAAACAGG
rnacentral:rRNA from 1 species